ensembl:snoRNA
AUGCAUCUAUUUGACAAACUGGGAGCAGUUAAUGUCUGCUGCUAAAGUUUCCACUAUGGAUGCAAGAGAAAAAGUAAUUCUUGUGAAUUAUUAUACUGUACAGCU